rnacentral:rRNA from 1 species
GAUGAACGCUGGCGGCGUGCCUAAUACAUGCAAGUCGAGCGAACAGACGAGGAGCUUGCUCCUCUGACGUUAGCGGCGGACGGGUGAGUAACACGUGGAUAACCUACCUAUAAGACUGGGAUAACUUCGGGAAACCGGAGCUAAUACCGGAUAAUAUAUUGAACCGCAUGGUUCAAUAGUGAAAGACGGUUUUGCUGUCACUUAUAGAUGGAUCCGCGCCGCAUUAGCUAGUUGGUAAGGUAACGGCUUACCAAGGCAACGAUGCGUAGCCGACCUGAGAGAGUGAUCGGCCACACUGGAACUGAGACACGGUCCAGACUCCUACGGGAGGCAGCAGUAGGGAAUCUUCCGCAAUGGGCGAAAGCCUGACGGAGCAACGCCGCGUGAGUGAUGAAGGUCUUCGGAUCGUAAAACUCUGUUAUUAGUGAAGAACAAAUGUGUAAGUAACUAUGCACGUCUUGACGGUACCUAAUCAGAAAGCCACGGCUAACUACGUG